GGCUCUGUAGCUCAGUCGGUAGAGCAACGGACUGAAAAUCCGUGUGUCGACAGUUCGAUUCUGGCUGGAGCCA
rnacentral:tRNA from 1 species